rnacentral:rRNA from 1 species
GUGCCAGCAGCCGCGGUAAUACGUAGGGCGCAAGCGUUAUCCGGAAUUAUUGGGCGUAAAGAGCUCGUAGGGCGGUUUGUCGCGUCUGCUGUGAAAACCCGAGGCUCAACCCUCGGGCCUGCAGUGGGUACGGGCAGACUAGAGUGCGGUAGGGGAGAUUUGGAAUUCCUGGUGUAGCGGUGGAAUGCGCAGAUAUCAGGAGGAACAACCAAUGGCGAAGGCAGAUCUCUGGGCCGUAACUGACGCUGAGGAGCGAAAGGGUGGGGAGCAAACAGGCUUAGAUACCCUGGUAGUCC